rnacentral:rRNA from 1 species
GAUGAACGCUAGCGGCAGGCUUAAUACAUGCAAGUCGAGGGGUAGCAAGAUUGUAGCAAUACAAUUGUUGACGACCGGCAAACGGGUGUGGAACACGUACACAACCUUCCUACAAGUGGGGAAUAGCCCAGAGAAAUUUGGAUUAAUACCCCGUAACAUAGCGAUGUGGCAUCACAUUGCUAUUAUAGCUUCGGCGCUUGUUGAUGGGUGUGCGGCUGAUUAGAUAGUUGGCGGGGUAACGGCCCACAAAGUCUACGAUCAGUAGCUGAUGUGAGAGCAUGAUCAGCCACACGGGCACUGAGACACGGGCCCGACUCCUACGGGAGGCAGCAGUAAGGAAUAUUGGACAAUGGACGCAAGUCUGAUCCAGCCAUGCCGCGUGAAGGAUUAAGGUCCUCUGGAUUGUAAACUUCUUUUAUAAGGGACGAAAAAAGGUCUUUCUAGAUCGUCUGACGGUACCUUAUGAAUAAGCACCGGCUAACUCCGUGCCAGCCGCCGCGGUAAUAC